rnacentral:rRNA from 1 species
ACGGCGUCGAGCGGCGGACGGGUGAGUAAUGCCUGGGAAAUUGCCCUGAUGUGGGGGAUAACCAUUGGAAACGAUGGCUAAUACCGCAUAAUAGCUUCGGCUCAAAGAGGGGGACCUUCGGGCCUCUCGCGUCAGGAUAUGCCCAGGUGGGAUUAGCUAGUUGGUGAGGUAAUGGCUCACCAAGGCAACGAUCCCUAGCUGGUCUGAGAGGAUGAUCAGCCACACUGGAACUGAGACACGGUCCAGACUCCUACGGGAGGCAGCAGUGGGGAAUAUUGCACAAUGGGCGCAAGCCUGAUGCAGCCAUGCCGCGUGUGUGAAGAAGGCCUUCGGGUUGUAAAGCACUUUCAGUCGUGAGGAAGGUGGUGUAUUUAAUAGAUGCAUCAUUUGACGUUAGCGACAGAAGAAGCACCGGCUAACUCCGUGCCAGCAGCCGCGGUAAUACGGAGGGUGCGAGCGUUAAUCGGAAUUACUGGGCGUAAAGCGCAUGCAGGUGGAUGAUUAAGUCAGAUGUGAAAGCCCGGG